UUAGUGAGGUAUUUUAAACGAAACUAAGUAUUUUAUGUUGGUAAUGUGAACAUAGUUAAAGAUGGCCGCAAAUAGAUUUCGCGAAAUAGUUCGAAUCAGCCCGAAAACAUUUGAAUUCAUUCUUAAUUUAAUAAAAUACGACGAAAUUUUUAAUGACUGCUCUUGUAAGCGGCAAAGAAGCAACCAUAACAAGAAUUGCAAGUUUGUUUGGUGUAGUACCCAUCCGAUGGAGUAUUCCACAGUACUCUGAAGCUAAAAAACCAAUUUUUAUACUGGCCGGGCGAUCAGGACCGUAAAACUCUAAUUGCUGAAACCUUACACGAGCUACCGUAUUGCAUUGGCUAUGUGGACGGAACGGAAGUUAAACUUGCCGAAAAACCUUUCCAGGAUCCUAAAGCGUAUUUUUCGCGAAAACAUAUUUACACUCUCAAAGUUCAGGGUGUUUGUGACCAGAAAUUAAGAAUACGUCACAUGGUACUUGGAUAUUCAGGCAGUGUUCAUGACACGAGGGUCUACAACAACUGUCCUUUGACUACUAACACCUCAGAAAUGCUUAAAAAAGCGGAGUGGUUAGCUGGCGAAAGUAAACUCAAGAGAAGUCAGCCCACAACAGCGAAAUACUUUUAACAGAAACACAGUAUAUACAGUAAUAAACCUUUUCGCAGUUUUUCACCAAUUGGUCCCCAAAGAGAGAUAAAUCAACUGUCAAACUUUGUAUGAAAAUCUAUUUAACCAAAGGUUAUUACUUUAUCAAAAGAUUUUGGUGAUUAAACGUAUACGUUUUAGCAAAAUUCAACCCUGACAGACUGCCAAGAAGUCGAUUUUGCUACGAACACAUAAAAAGCAAAUUAGCACAAUAAAAUGAAACGUAACU